rnacentral:rRNA from 1 species
CUUGGUCAUUUAGAGGAGUAAAAGUCGUAACAAGGUCUCCGUAGGUGAACCUGCGGAGGGAUCAUUGCAGAGUUCAUGCCCUCACGGGUAGAUCUCCCACCCUAUGUUAUCAUACCUUUGUUGCUUUGGCAGGCCGUUACCUCACGGCUAACCACCGGCUCCGGCUAGUGUGUGCCCGCCAGAGGACCCCAAACUCUGAAUAUUACUGUCGUCUGAGUACUAUAUAAUAGUUAAAACUUUCAACAACGGAUCUCUUGGUUCUGGCAUCGAUGAAGAACGCAGCGAAAUGCGAUAAGUAAUGCGAAUUGCAGAAUUCAGUGAGUCAUCGAAUCUUUGAACGCACAUUGCGCCCCGUGGUAUUCCGCGGGGCAUGCCUGUUCGAGCGUCAUUUCAACCCUCAAGCUCUGCUUGGUAUCGGGCCGCACCGGCGACGGUGGGCCUCAGAAUCAGUGGCGGUGCCGUCUGGCUCUGAGCGUAGUAAUUCUCCUCGCUAUAGACGUCUGGCGGUGUCCGGCCAGCAACUCCCCAUUCUUAUGGUUGACCUCGGAUCAGGUAGGGAUACCCGCUGAACUUAAGCAUAUCAAUAAGCGGAGGAA